rnacentral:rRNA from 1 species
UACGAAGGGGGCUAGCGUUGUUCGGAUUUACUGGGCGUAAAGCGCACGUAGGCGGUUUGUUAAGUGAGAGGUGAAAUCCCAGAGCUCAACUCUGGAACUGCCUUUCAUACUGGCAAGCUAGAGUCCGGAAGAGGUAAGUGGAACUCCGUAGUGUAGAGGUGGAAUUCGUAGAUAUUAGGAAGAACACCAGUGGCGAAGGCGGCUUACUGGUCCGGUACUGACGCUGAGGUGCGAAAGCGUGGGGAGCAAACAGG